AUUGAACGCUGGCGGCAGGCCUAACACAUGCAAGUCGAGCGAAGAGGGGACGGGUGAGUAACACGUGGAUACCCUACUAUAAGACUGGGAUCACUUGGGGAAACCGGAGCUAACCCGGAUACUUUUAGAUGGAUCCACGCUGCAUUAGCGAGUUGGUAAGGUACAGGCUUACCAAGGCAACUAUGCAUAGCCGACCUGAGAGGGUGAGCGGCCACACUGGAACUGAGACACGGUCCAGACUCCUACGGGAGGCAGAAGUAGGGAAUCUUCCGCAAUGGGCGAAAGCCUGACGAAGCAACGCCGCGGGAGUGAGGAAGGUCUUAGGAUCGUAAAACACUGUUAUUAGGGAAGCGGUACCUAAUCAGAAAGCCACGGCUAACUACGUGCCAGCAGCCGCGGUAAUUC
rnacentral:rRNA from 1 species